rnacentral:misc_RNA from 1 species
CCAAACUUGGUCAUUUAGAGGAAGUAAAAGUCGUAACAAGGUCUCCGUUGGUGAACCAGCGGAGGGAUCAUUACAGAGAAAACACAUCUCGCAAACCCAAUGUGAAUAUACCAUUAGUUGCCUCGGCGGUGAUGCCUACCCGGUACUUACCCUGUAGUCGGCCGCCGGAGGGAAGUUAGACUCGUAUUAUUUGUAGCACUCUGAGUUAUUAUCACAACAAGUUAAAACUUUCAACAACGGAUCUCUUGGUUCUGGCAUCGAUGAAGAACGCAGC